rnacentral:rRNA from 1 species
UAGGGAAUUUUCCACAAUGGGCGAAAGCCUGAUGGAGCAACGCCGCGUGCAGGAUGAAGGCCUUCGGGUUGUAAACUGCUUUUAUCUGUGACGAAUAUGACGGUAGCAGAUGAAUAAGGAUCGGCUAACUCCGUGCCAGCAGCCGCGGUCAUACGGAGGAUCCAAGCGUUAUCCGGAAUUACUGGGCGUAAAGAGUUGCGUAGGUGGCAUUGUAAGUCGGUAGUGAAAGCGUGUGGCUCAACCAUAUACACAUUAUCGAAACUGCAAAGCUAGAGGACGAGAGAGGUAAUUGGAAUUCCCAGUGUAGGAGUGAAAUCCGUAGAUAUUGGGAGGAACACCGAUGGCGUAGGCAGAUUACUGGCUCGUUCCUGACACUAAGGCACGAAAGCGUGGGGAGCAAAC